UACAGAGGUCUCGAGCGUUGUUCGGAUUCAUUGGGCGUAAAGGGUGCGUAGGCGGCGCGGUAAGUCGGGUGUGAAAUUUCGAGGCUUAACUUCGAAACUGCAUUCGAUACUGCCGUGCUUGAGGACUGGAGAGGAGACUGGAAUUUACGGUGUAGCGGUGAAAUGCGUAGAUAUCGUAAGGAAGACCAGUGGCGAAGGCGGGUCUCUGGACAGUUCCUGACGCUGAGGCACGAAGGCCAGGGGAGCAAACGGG
rnacentral:rRNA from 1 species